GCACCUAUAGCUCAAUUGGAUAGAGCGCUUGGCUACGAACUAAGAGGUUGGGGGUUCAAAUCCCUCUAGGUGUACCA
rnacentral:tRNA from 1 species